rnacentral:lncRNA from 1 species
UUUUUUUUUUUGAGUAAAAGAGGGUUUCCCCUCCGAUUUCCAUUAGAGAAAUCAAAGCAAGUGCAGAAGCUAGUAGUCUGUUACAAGGCAACCAGAAGACAACGCAACCUGAAAGAAAGUCUAGCCACUAACGGCGACUAAACACUUUCCUACACAACUAGAAAGUUGAACUUAGCGGACAUCUCAUCAAGUAUAUUACAUUCCAUCCAAAAGGCAAAGCAAAAACUCAUGAUCAUGGAAGCAGAGUGACAUGAUCCGUAGAAGCAGAAGCUCCCGCUCCCUGAAGCCUUGAACUCCAAGCGCCACCCCUGCGAUGCUUUGUAGAUUUCACUUGUCACCUGUUCGAUGAGUCUUGCCCCCAGCAUCAACAUUCUUUUCCCUGGGUCCUUUUUCUAUAAAACAACCUAGUCAGUGAUCCAAUUACACAUUCUUUUAACGAUCCCAAUUGGGUCUUUUGUUUUCUUCCUGCCAAAUACAAUAUCGUUUAUACUAUUCCAAAUUGCCCACAAAAGAGCUGAAACACCAGCCAAUACCAGUUUCUUGUCAUUUUUGUUGAAUUUAUUCAGCCAAUUUCCAAAACAGUCAUUUAGAUCUCUUGAAAUGAGUUUGAGAUCAAAGGCACACCCCACCAAGCUCCAGAUGAGUCUAGCAACAGAGCAGGAGAAGAAAAGGUGAUCAAUAUUCUCCUCUUUCCAACACAACACACAAUGUUUAUCACCUUUCCAACCCCUUUUCAGCAGAUUGCCCUUAGUUAAAUGCUUUUUUUAUUUAGGAGCCAUAGGAAUAUUUUAAUUUUUGCAGGUACUUUUGUUUUCCACAUAAAUCUCUAUGGAAAGCCAACAUCAAUUUUAAUAAGAUUAAGAUACAAUGAUCUCACAGAGAAUUUUCUAUUUGUAGUCAACAUCCACAUAGGUUUAUCCCUCCCUCCAUGCAUCAUGAUUUCAUCACAUCUCUUUUUUAGGCUAUCCCAAAGAGUCUCAUAAUCCCCACAUAUUGUUCUUCUGAAAUACAUCCCUCCCCAUCCUUUGUUUAUAACUUCUCUAAUAGUAAUCUCUCUGUCAUUACUAAUGAAAUAUAGUGGGGGAUAGGCCUCCUUCAAGGGCUUAUCAUCUACCCACCAGUCUUCCCAGAAUCUAGUAUCUCCACCAUCACCAAGUUUUUUCUUGAUAUGAGGGUAAACCAGCCCCCUAAUCUUGAGGAGACUAGCCCAAAAUUGCGAGUCCCCUUUUUUCUGUUUGACACCAAAAAGGCAUUUGUCUUGUAUUUAGAUCUAAUUAUGUCUUGCCAAAGUCCAUCUUCAUCUUCUAGCUUCCAGAUCCAUUUGGCAAGCAAAGCAAUGUUAAAUUUUUCUAAAUUUGUCACCCCAAGCCCCCCUUGCUGUUUUGGCAAGCAGCAAGUUUUCCAGUUGACUAGGUGAUAUUUUUUUAUCCUCUUCAGCUUGCCACACUAAUCUGGCUCUAUAGAAGUCCACCUUUUUCCUAACCCCAUCAAGGAGUGGGUAAAAAGACAUCAUAUAAAUGGGAAUAUUUGUUAGACAAGAUUGCACUAAUGUAACUCUACCAGUUAUAUUAAGCAAUCUGCCCUGCCAGCAAGCACAUCUUUUUCCAAUUUUUUCAGUCACAUUCCUCCACAUGCUAUUUCUAAUCCUUCUAUUGUGAACUGGUAAGCCUAGAUAUUUUAAAGGCAUUUCUCCAAGAGCACACGCGAAGAUCUCUUGAUAGAGAUUUCCCUUACUUUUCACUUCUCCAAAAAGGUACAUAUCACUUUUAUGAAAGUUCAUUGUUAAUCCUGACAUUUGCUCAAAGGCAGUUAAGAUGAAUUUUAGAUUUCUAGUUGAAUCUUCAUCAUCCUGUAACAGAAAUAUAGUAUCAUCAGCAUAUUGUAACAUAUUCACCCAAUUUUCAUGAAUAUCAGUAAGCACCCCUUUGAUAUAACCUUCAGUUCUAGCUUUAUCCAUAACAUAAUAGGGCAUCUACUGCUAAAUCAAACAACAAGGGAGAGAGAGAAUCUCCCUGUCUGAGCCCUUUAAAGGUUUUGAAAAAUUUUCCCACAUUGUCAUUAACUUUUAUUCCCACAUGACCUCCCCUCAUGGCAUGCAUCACCCAAUCACACUACUUAUUAGGGAAUUAUUUCAGUUUGAGUAUUUUAUGAACAAAGGGCCACUUGAUUUUGUGAUAUGCUUUCUCAAAGUCCACUUUGAAUGGCAUAGCAUUUUGUUAUUUUGUAUGAACUGAAUUUAGGGCCUCAUGUAAAAUGACCACCCCUUCCAUAAUAUAUUUGCCUUUAACAAAGGCAGUUUGGAUGGGUGAGAUUAUAGGGUUAACCACUUUACUAAUUCUAUUCAUCAAGACUUUAAUAAUGAUUUUAAAACUGAAAUUCAGUAAACAAAUAGGCCUGAAUUUUUGAAUCUGCUUAGCAUCUUUAACUUUUGGGACCAAAGUAAUGAUACCAUAAUUGAGUCUAACUAAAUCUACCUUUCCAUUAUGAAAAUCAUCCUAUAUUCUUUUUAGGUCAUUUUUAACCAUUUCCCAAGUUUUUUGAUAAAACUCAAUAGCAAAUCCAUCUGGUCCUAGGCUUUUAUUCUUUUCCAUAGAGAAGACAAUAUCUUUAAUCCUAUCAACACUAAAAGGCUUGAUAAGUUCUUCCCGUGUCUGGGGAGAGACCCUCUCAGCCUCUUGAAUACUUAAGUUUAUGCUGGAAGUCUCAGCUUGUCCAAACAAUUUCUUAUAAAAUUCAGUAAUAUAGUCCAUAAGUUCUUUUUCCCCUCUAUAACUUUCCUAUCAUGUUCCAAUUUAAUAAUUCUGUUUUUCUCCUCCUCCCAUUCACUUUAGCAUGAUAGUAUCUAGUGUUUCAGUCACCUUCCCUAAUUUCCUUGUCUUUAUAUCUCUGCAACCAUUUAAUUUCUUUAAGCUUAAGAAAAUUCUUUAGUUAUUUCCUUAGUUCUUUUUUAAUAUCUCUUUCCUGUGCAUUAAUGCCUCUAGAUUCAGCAUUUUUAUCCAUCACAUCUAACAUGGCCAUCCGUUCCUUAUUUCUUUUCAUAUACAUAGCAUUUGCAUUUAACACCCAACCUUUCAUUUUCUGUCUGAUAUUUCUAAUCUUUUUUUGCCAGGUAUCCAUACUGGAUCCAUUGCAGCUAAUAUCCCAAUUUCUCUCAACAAAUUCUCUAAAGCCUUCCAUAUGCAUCCAAGCAUUUUCAAAUCUGAAGAUGGGUGGAGCAGUUCUUUGUUCCCCUGAGUCCAACAGCAAAGGGGUAUGAUCAGAGAUCUCCCUUUCCAGUGCAGUAACAAUGGUUAUAGGAUAUUUAUCUUCCCAAUCAAAGCAUAUUAAAAUUCUAUCUAUUUUUCAUAAGUAGGUUUUGGUAGGUUAUUAGCCCAAGUAAAUUUUCUUCCACUAAUAGGAAUGUCUCUCAGCCCCGCAUGUUCAAUGAUGGCAUUAAAAACAAAGCUAAAAUGGUCAUUUCCCCCUGGUUUGUUUUUUAGAACUAUUUCUGAUAAUGUUGACGUCUCCUCCUAUAACACAUGGAAGAGGAUUAUCUUGAUAUAAUCUUGACAGUUCAGCUAGAAAGGCUGCUUUGCCUUCUUUUUGAGCAUCAUCAUAUACAGUCACUAAGUUCCAGCUAAAUUUAGCUUUUUUGUCAAAUAUAAGUAACCUUACAUAGUAUGUCCCUUUUUUUACUUGCAAAAUAUCAAAGUUAUCACUAUUGAUACCUACCAGGAUUCCACCAGAUUUGCCCCUAGGAGCAAUCCAUUCCCACAGAAAAUUCUUCCCUCCAGAAAGGUUAUAAAGUUCAUUUUUGGAAUAAUCUCCUUAAUAGUUUCUUGCAAACCCACAAAGUCUAAGUGUUUCUCUAUAAUAGUCUCUCUAAUAAAAUUCCUCUUAAUAUCUUGUCUAAUCCCUCUUAUCAUUGUUUCUUUUUUUAACCCCUCCUAUUGAUAUAGCAUGCUUCCCAACACUAUUAGCUGAGGUGCCAAUCUUCAUUUUUCUAUUGCUAGAGAAAAUCUUUCUCAAAUUGUCAUAAUAAUCCAUUUCCAGUUCUGUGUCAGAAUGAUCAUUCUCAGAGCACAAUUCUUCCAGUACAGCAUCUCCAAUGUCAAUGGGACUUGGGGAGCUAAUUUUUUUAGUGUCCUCCUCUUGAUUUUUAAUAUUUUGGAGAUAUAGAUCUCUCCUAGCCUGCUCCAUAUUGGCAAUCAGGUCUAGGUUUUGAUUAACUAGAUCAAUAGAGCAUUCUAGUUCCACCCCCCACAUUUUUCUCCAUAUCAAACAAAUAAAUUCUUUCAUCUAAAAAAGUGGGAAACUUACCAUAAUUGUCUUUGUCAGCGGCUCUUUCCUUGGCCAAAUCUUCAAUUUUAACAUCUUUUUUGUCCAGGUUCCUGUCACUUCUUCUAGUAGGCCCAUCUUUGUCCUUAUCAUUAUCAUCUUUAGUGUUGAUGCCCAAUUUGGAACCCAGAGACUCCACAGAAUCCUGGCUGGCAUUAUAGUCCACUUGUUCAGUGUAGUUAUCUUCCAUCACUGGACCCUGUGGAGUAUCUUUGUCAUAUUGAUUUUUUCUCCAAGAUCCUCUCCAGUCAGUUCUUUUUCAUCCCAUAGCUCAAUUUUCUCCAUACACUUGUCUAUCAGCUCAUGUUGAUUCUUGAUCAUGUCCGCCAUUUUAUUUAUCUCUUCCUCCCAGGAGUUAUGCUUUUUUUCCUCCACUGCCCUCCAGGCUUCCUGUCUACAUUUGUUUUCCUCCAUUUCAUCCAUCUUUUGUAGCACUUUGUCCAGAUCAGCUUCCACUUUCUUCCUCAGCCAACCUCAGCCAGAUAUUCCUUCUAAACUUUGAGAAUUUCAUCAUUCAUUUUCAUCAUUUCCUCAAAUUGUUUGAGUCCUACACUGCCUAGUGAAAUGUUUUCCUUGCUCCCUGCAUCAUGAUCUGUCAUACUAUCUUCAUGCUUCCUUUUCUCUUCAUACCAACCUUGCUCCGCUACUUUUUCUAGCUCUAGAGUGACUCUGUAGAUCAUGAGAUCCUUGUUAGUAACUUCAGUAUGCUUUGGAAUUUUUUCAAAGUCUCUCACCCUCACCUUGGCCCUGAUUUUUUCUUGCAGAAUGGUUGUCAUGUCAAUCUCUAGAACUGGUCCAAUAGUGGCAGCCACCUCACAAGCACCAAAGAAGUGUCUAAAGCACUCUGGCAUUUUCCCUAUAUUCACCCACACAGUGUGAAGUUUCCUAUGGCAUGUGUGUCAUAUGUCCAGCUGUCAACAUUUAUGGUAGACUUUGUUCCCAGGAGGUUGAAGUUGCCAAAUUUAUGGAGCUCCACCACUUCUCUCUUGUUGGGAAAUCUCAUCAGGUAGGCUUUGUCACCUUGUCUCUUGCACCUCCAUUGCCAAUCCCAUUUAAACAUGUAGUUGAAACCUUCCAAGAAUUAUGUUUCAUUAAUUUCUGCAGAAGCAAUUCCGACAAUUGGCAUGGGAUUGGUUUGUUCACUGCUCACCGCAUCCUUGGAGUUUUGAAUCAGCAUCACUCCUAUCCCCCUAGAUGCAUAUCCUACAAACUUAGGCAGAGGUUUUAUCUGUUUCAGCCAAGUGCAAUCUUCUAUGAUGUGUGAGUUCUUUCCACAAAUGAUGCAGUUGGGGAGUUUGCAUUCUCUUGUCAGAUGUCUAUAGUAUCUGCACUUGUUGCACAUAACCCUAAAAUUAGAUCCAUUCUUGCUUCGAUCAAGUCCUUCUCUCUGCCCAAACUUAGCUGUGCCCCCCCCCAACUGUUUUGAUUCUAUCUGUAUCCUGUUCCAUUGUCAGAUUCUCUCCUUUUGCCACCAUCUUUGUUGUCUGCAACGCUUCCCUUCCCACUGUCUACCUCUGACUCCUUCAAACCCACUAUUUGACUUCCAUUCCCCCCUAGUAGCAGCACCUGCCCCCUGCUGUGCCAGUUGGACAAGAAGAGCGCCAAACCACUACUGCUGUUGAAGUAAAUCAAGAGAUGGAUUCAGAGAGGAAACAUAAUUUUUACCUUUUCCUUCUUGCUCUACCCGAUCAGUUUCUUGAUUGAUUUCACUCUUCUCUUUGAUCUCAUCUGCCAGACUAGCCCCUGAUCUCGAUCCUCUCCUCCAUCACCUCUAUAGCUAGAGUUGCCAGGGGUGAAUCUUGAUCCAAAUCCCUAUGAACUGCUACUGUGUUGCUAGAAAUUCCCUCUGAACCUGUCCACAUCUUCUUCCUUCUUUCUAUAUUGAAACUUCUCUCUCCCCCAUGAUUGAACCUCCCCUCUGUUUCCACCAAAUCCUCUGUUCAUAGCACCUCUCUCUUCUACUUAUGGUGGCGGCGGGGGUGGGGGAACCCUAGCUCCUCAAAGGGAUUGAUCUCUCCUCCCAACCAGGGGAGAGACUCGUCAUUUAUAUUGCUAAAGCUUUUAGAAAGCAUAUUCAUAAAAGGCGUAUUCCUACUUUCCCCUUUUUGCCCCUCCUUUUCCUUUUCACAAUUUAUCUCUCCCCAAACUGAGUUAAAAUUGGUUCCAUCACCUAAACCUUGUUUGAUUUCCAUUUCAUUAAUAUAAACUGCCUCAUUAUACCAGAAAUCUAGAAUUUGAGCAUAUCGGUUUUUGUUCAUUUCCCUGAUAAUCUCUCUGCCAAGCAUAACUUGGCUUUGAGUAAUCUCAUUUUCGUUGUUACCCAAGGGAUAUAAUCCACGCCCAUUUCUAAUCUUAGUUUUCUCUCCAUCUUCAGCAGCUAAUCGCCGCUUUUUCAUUUUAUUCUUGCCAGAAUUACCCAUUGACGUAGGUUCGAAUAGAUAUUUUUUCAAGGGGAGGGGAAUACCUUGUAAAUCCGGUGAGGGCCCAGCCUCCUCGUCGGAAUCCUCACCAACGAG